UGAAACUCUAAAUUCUGCAUUUAGGAUGGAGAUACAUGUGUGUGAGUGUGUGUGUGUGUGCGCGUGUGUGCACAUGCGUGUUGGUUUCUUCAAAAUCACUAUUAAUUAUUUGUGUUGGAAAAAAUUUCAGAGGCAUCCAGGAUCACCUAGGACAAUUAAACACCAUGUGACCCAGGAACCAUAUCAAAUGAUUGACAUCCAUUCCAUAGGAAGUAUUGUACACCAAAUAUGUCUUGACCAAAACAUGAAAUUAGUCAUAAAAAGAAAACCAAAAGCUGAAAAGGGCUGCCACAUACAAAAUCAAACCUUAAGGGUGGACUCCCAAGUCGGUACACUGCACAUAGCUUUUCCGAGAUUUUCCUGGAACGAGAGAACACCUGCACAAUGCAGGCCACAUCCUGAUGUACACUUAAGUUCUGUGAUCCCAGAUAUACCUAAAUUGGCCAAUCAAAUAAAUACAAACGGAAAGUUCUAUUUAUGCAGCAAAUCAGUUGUGCUGGUAGUUUGCAGAUAAACAUGAGAGAAUGCUCUUCCUUCAUAAGUCCCAGGUCAUAAGCUCUCUUAUUAACUGCUCCGAGCACUGAGGGAGACUCCAGUGUGUACAGAAAACACAGUCUUCCCUAUUACAUGGCCCCCCAGUGCAAGCCAACCAGCCUAUUUUCAAAGAAACAAAAAGAAAAACCCAUCUAUGCCGUAUUAGAAAGGAAAUCUUGUCAUUUGGGCCACAUUAAGAA
rnacentral:lncRNA from 1 species